UACGGAGGGUGUAAGCGUUAUCCGGAUUCACUGGGUUUAAAGGGUGCGUAGGCGGGCAGGUAAGCCAGUGGUGAAAUCCUAGAGCUUAACUCUAGAACUGCCAUUGAUACUAUCUGUCUUGAAUAUUGUGGAGGUAAGCGGAAUAUGUCAUGUAGCGGUGAAAUGCUUAGAUAUGACAUAGAACACCUAUUGCGAAGGCAGCUUACUACGCAUAUAUUGACGCUGAGGCACGAAAGCGUGGGGAUCAAACAGG
rnacentral:rRNA from 1 species